GAACAGUAUAGGUUUCCAGGUGACAUAUGACCGCCAUCUGCCGAUGUCUUCCCACCUUUGCAAAACGUUUCAUCUACCCUACCACACCGCUUCACCCUUCCAGUUCUCAUCCACCCUGCCAUACCACCUGAUGCUUCGAACACUCUUCUACCAGAUAACCCCGUUCACGCCGGCGACACAACCAACUAUUACCGUCGAUUCUUAGGAACAGUUCACCUCCAUCUGCCAGUCAUUCUCUUUAUCUUCUUAGCAAUCUUUUUGAGAGAGGUGAGAGGCUACAGAGAGAGCAGAAAGCCGCCGGACGGAGAGAAGUAAGAUGCUAGAGGGAGAGAGAGAGAGCAGAAAGCCGCUGGUGGGGAGAAGUGAGAGGCUAGAGAGAGAAGAAAACCGAUGUCGCCGGUAGUGUGUUGGUUGUCGCUAGAGAGACACUGUCACCGGCAGUCUUCGCCGGUCCAAGGGUACCUAUGGCUUUCGAUAGUAUCCCAGAUUGUGGCAUGGCAUUUAGAUUUUGAGGAAACGGCGUUCGUCGGAACCCUAGAUAACACAACAUUAGGAAUAGUAGCAUAUAUAAUUACUGGUCCACGUUGUUUUCCCUCCUGCCGUCUAGCCCUUCACGCCGCUUCAACAUCUGCUUCACCAGGGAGCAUCAAACUGGCCAAGGGGCACCAAAUGCGUUGGCUUUGACUUACAAUAGCAACUACCAACUACCAAGACCUUUCACUUUCCUUAAGGCUUAAUUUACAUUGAAGUCGGAAAAAGUGGAUAAAGCUAUGGAAAAAAAGGUUACAUGCCUAAACGACGUUUGUAAAGGGACAAAACGUUGUAUGUGGCGGCAUGUUCGAGGGAUAGGCUCAUGCGUCUCCGAGGCACAUGUUAGCAUAACAUCACACUCGCACAUGCUACCAUAACAUCACUGAUGGUGUCCCCUACAACCUAGGACGGUGGGCAAGGUGGCUAUAGGAAUUUGCAUCCUAGAGACGUGAUGGUGGAUGGCAGCGGUGCUGCGAGCAACCACAUAGUCAAUCCAUAGAUUACAAGAAGAUAAUCAGCAUGUCAAAGUUUCCAUUAACCAACACAAGCAACAAGAAGGAUUUCUAUUAUGUCCUUUCUUCUGGAAUUCUCAUCCAUGACGAAAAACUGGUGGUGGGAUUGGAUUUGGUGGAUGAUAGAAGCAAGCCAGAACCAAGAAAUGCCCAAUGGACAAAUAUAAAUCUCCUAGCCACAACGCGGCGGGUUCCAUCUAGUUAAUUUGAAAUUAAAAAUCUCUUCUUGCUAAACACUAUCCAAUUUUGUUUGGCUUUUUUACUUUUUUUUUACUCUUUUAACUUUUAUUUACUCUUUAACCCUUUUAGUUGAUAUUUUUUACACUUUUAACCCAAUAGUUAUCAUCUUGUACAUAAACCUCAUAAUUUACAUAUUUUACACUUUAACA